GUUUGUAUGGAAUUCCAUGAGCUUCAAAGUAAUGCUUCUAACUCUGUGGUUUUUCAUAUUUCCCAG
ensembl:ncRNA mir-4910 mir-4910 stem loop